rnacentral:tRNA from 2 species
GGGCGUGUAGCGCAGUUGGUAGCGCGUCUGCCCUGCAAGCAGAAGGUCACUGGUUCAAAUCCUGUCUCGUCCA